UAGUGUGUUUUGCUGACUCCUGGCGCUCUGCCUCUUCCAUGAGAGGCGUUUUUGCACGAUUGCAGACAGGAAUAAAAAUGAGCUCUGCCUACUGGGCCAUCCUGGUUAGCAAGGUCUACACCACCUCAAAGGCAGCUAUGGACUAAGAGCCCACAAGGAAUCUCGGGUUAUGAGGGAGGGGCUGGCCAUGAAGACGGCUAAAGUGCCUCAUUUGUCUUCCCAGCAGGAAAGCGAUGGGACCUCGGCGGGCAGGAAACGCGAUCUCCACCCGUCUGGAAAACUCUCUGAGUUCUGGAGCACUGUUCGCGGCCGGACUGAGUGGCAUGUCCGCAUUUUCCCCAUUCCAGGGUAGGGCAGACUGAGUCUGGCGUGGUCCUGGUUACUGAGUGCUCCCCAUGGAAAAUGGCCAGGAGAGAGAGGGCCCCUUUGGCCCCUCUGAGAAGGUCCUCGCCUGGGCCCAGAACCACUGCUCAGAAGUCUCUUCAUUCUUCAUGGACUUAAGGACUGAACUGGCGCUUGAGGUGACCACAGGAAAGAGGAAAGUGAAAUGGCUGUCCAGGUGUGGCUCCUCUCUGGCGCUGAUCACUCCUUUCUGUCCCCGGACCAUUGAUAGGGUGGAGGACAAACAGCUGAGCAGAGACAGCUUCUUACCUGG